UGCCCUUCACAAGGAGGUGUCAUUCAUGUGGACUAAAUCCUGAAUGCCGCCUUCUUGAGAAGAGUA
rnacentral:pre_miRNA from 1 species